AUGCUUCACCUCUUACCAUGUUUAACAACAUUUAAUAUUGCUUGGCCUUAUUCUCGGUGUUUUCUUCCACUCUUGCUGCCUUUGUUUCUGUCAUACCGGUGUUAUGUUCCUUGA
rnacentral:rRNA from 1 species